rnacentral:rRNA from 1 species
GACGAACGCUGGCGGCGUGCUUAACACAUGCAAGUCGAACGGAAAGGCCCUGCUUGCAGGGUACUCGAGUGGCGAACGGGUGAGUAACACGUGGGUGAUCUGCCCUGCACUUCGGGAUAAGCCUGGGAAACUGGGUCUAAUACCGGAUAGGAGCCAUUUUUAGUGUGAUGGUUGGAAAGUUUUUUCGGUGUAGGAUGAGCUCGCGGCCUAUCAGCUUGUUGGUGGGGUAAUGGCCUACCAAGGCGGCGACGGGUAGCCGGCCUGAGAGGGUGGACGGCCACAUUGGGACUGAGAUACGGCCCAGACUCCCACGGGAGGCAGCGGUGGGGAAUAUUGCACAAUGGGCGCAAGCCUGAUGCAGCGACGCCGCGUGGGGGAUGACGGCCUUCGGGUUGUAAACUCCUUUCGCUAGGGACGAAGCUUUUUGUGACGGUACCUAGAUAAGAAGCACCGGCUAACUACGUG